rnacentral:rRNA from 1 species
UACGUAGGGGGCGAGCGUUGUCCGGAUUCAUUGGGCGUAAAGAGCUCGGUAGGCGGUCUGUUGCGUCCGCUGUGAAAACCCGGGGCUUAACCCCUGGCUUGCAGUGGAUACGGACAGACUAGAGGUAGGUAGGGGAGAAUGGAAUUCCCGGUGUAGCGGUGAAAUGCGCAGAUAUCGGGAGGAACACCGGUGGCGAAGGCGGUUCUCUGGGCCUUACCUGACGCUGAGGAGCGAAAGCGUGGGGAGCGAACAGG